UACGUAGGGGGCGAGCGUUGUCCGGAUUUAUUGGGCGUAAAGAGCGUGUAGGCGGCCAGGUAGGUCUGCUGUGAAAACUCGAGGCUCAACCUCGAGACGUCGGCGGAAACCAUCUGGCUAGAGUCCGGAAGAGGAGAGUGGAAUUCCUGGUGUAGCGGUGAAAUGCGCAGAUAUCAGGAAGAACACCGGUGGCGAAGGCGGCUUUCUGGACACUUACUGACACUGAGACGCGAAAGCGUGGGGAGCAAACAGG
rnacentral:rRNA from 1 species